rnacentral:rRNA from 1 species
AACGAACGCUGGCGGCAGGCCUAACACAUGCAAGUCGAGCGCGCCCUUCGGGGUGAGCGGCGGACGGGUUAGUAACGCGUGGGAAUAUGCCCAAAGGUACGGAAUGGCCUCUGGAAACGGAGAGUAAUACCGUAUGUGCCCUUCGGGGAAAGGAUUAUCGCCUUUGGAUUAGCCCGCGUUAGAUUAGGUAGUUGGUGGGGUAAGUGGCCUACCAAGCCUACGAUCUAUAGACUGGUUUUAGUAGGAUGAUCAGCAACACUGGGACUGAGACACGGCCCACGACUCCUACGGGAGGGCAGCAGUGGGGAAGUCUUGGACAAUGGGGGGCGAACCCUCGAUCCAGCCAUGCCGCGUGAGUGAUG